rnacentral:lncRNA from 1 species
UGUCAUGCCUAAUCACCUCUCCCCAAUACUUCUUAGGCCUCCCUCUGCCUCGCCGAACGCCGACAAUCGUCAGCCGCUCACAACUCCUCAAUAUAUAACAAAAUUGUGUAACUGCAUAAAAUAGAUAUGUGGUUCAGUCUCAUGCCUCUUCUCCUCUCUGAAUUCAUGUAUUGGGAUCGCACCUUUCCAAUGGUGUAUACUUGUAUAAGGAGAACACAUCAAUACAAUAAGGAUCUUUACAAUGUUGUGAAGGUUUUGAAAAAUUCUCAUUGAAAUUAUGUUUUGGAACAGGAGCUUUCAGUAUUAUAUUAAGACAAUACAUCAACAUAUUAUGGCAUUGUAAGCGCUCAAGCAAUAACCUAAUUUACAGGUACCUUAUGCUUUUUCUCUUAUCCGAUGAUUAAUAAUGUAGGAAUUGUUAAUAAUGAAGGGAUUGUUAUGCAGGGAUUACUUACUUUAAGGGCAUUUUUGCCUUUAAAUACGUUAAUGCCCUAUUGCUAAUACAUACAUGGAGUAUAUUUUAUUUCAUAUUCUAUCCCCCAUAAAAUAAUAUGUACAGUCCUGUAUAAUUUACUGCAGGUAUUAGUUAACACAUCAACCAAAUGCUGCAAAAAAUUAUACAGGCUUUAUUUUUUCAUAUGCGACCAACCAAAUGAAUGCAUGCGUUCAUAUAUGAAAUAUUUUUUUAAUCACUCUAAGCAAACACAUUAUAAAUUUUAUGCUUGGGUUAUUUCUCCGAUCCUUCCAACAGUCCAAACAAACAACCACAUAGAGAGAGAUCCCAUAUAUGCCUAAAUACAAGAUAUGCAUACCAAUUGGAAAAAAUAGUAGCUAAAACUAACAGAAAUUCUUUCUUUCUUUCUUUCUUUUUUUUUGGUAAUUAACUACCAGAAAUUCUGAUUAGGCAGACCUGGGAUAUCCAUAUUAACUAGGUUUAAUACAGGAAAUUUUAUUCAAUAAGUCAUAAAUCUUCUACUACGAGAAAUACAAAAGACCAACAGCCAUGCUGUGCAAAAAAAUAAUAGUUUUUUUAAGCAAUAAAUUCAAUGAUUCGUCAGUGUUACCUUUUGGAAACAUCAUACAGUUUGGGGAUCAUGAAGGACAAAUGACCCGAUAGCAACUUGACAGACUUGGUAAUGAACCUAACAGAAAUAGCAGUUGCACUAUAGAGCUGUGUUAUGCAUCAUCAUUUAGUUCACUAGCUCUAGAAACACUACAUGGUCCAAAAGUAGGAGGUGUCUACUCAAGAAGGUUUUUCUCCUUUCCGGCGAACUCUGAAAAUUUCCCUCCUCUCCGUUUAACUUCACUUAUUUCGAAAGUUAAACUGCCUUAGAAAGUAAAACCUUUUAUGUGGUCUUUGGUUUAUAAAAAAACAUAGCAGGAAUGGCUUGUUGGAGGUGCACACCAACAAAGGCGAAUGAUUGAUGCACAUGACUGGACCUCAUAAGCAUCUCCUUCUGCAAUUUGCAUUAAAUUGUGGAAAAGAUCCAAAUUUAGGCGAAGCUAUUGUGACUUUCUCCUCAUUAAAAAAUGAUCUUCUCACGGGAAUUUUGAUAUUUUGGGGGAAGCUAUGGUGACUCUUUCUCAUUGAAUGAGCUUCUAACAACCAGGUAUAAGAUUUCAGGAAGAUAAGGGAAGGUAAACCGGUACAGCAUGCAGCUCCUUUGGCUCUAAAAUGGUGCUUAUGGUAAAGAAAUAUGAGAACAUUAGGACCCAUAUACAUUAGUUGACUUGGCCUGGAAGAACACAUUCUUUCUUGGUUUUUUGAAGUAAUGGUUUUUAGGGAGUGUAGAACUGGGAGAACUGCAACGUACUAGAGGCUUUAGUAGAACAGCAAACAAACAUUCUUUCUUGCUUUUCUGAAGUAAUGGUUAUUAGGGAGUGUAGAACUGGGAGAACUGCAACAAAUUAGAGGCUUUAGUAGAACAGCAUACAUUCUUUUUAGUCCAUUUUGUUAUUUUAAGGAAAUCUUGUUGUGGAUACCUUUUGCUUUGUGGAACGGGAAUGAGUUCCGGUUCACCACUAGCUUAUAACCAAUUCACUGGGGUACGCUUCGUUAGAUCAUAUGUCAAUCUACUUAACUAAGGAAAUAACUUUCUCAAGUUAGAGAGAAUUGGCAAGGUUAAAAUAGUAAAAUACCUUGAUAAUUGGAUUCACAUGUUUCUUAAGUUAUGUAUUUAAUGAAAAAUAUUGCUAUUAGGAGGUAAAACAAAAGGUUACUAACUCAAGAUUGCGCUUUUUAUAAGUAAGUUGGACUUGGACCUAAAUUUGGUUGUUCAUAUCCCUACUGUACUCUUAACGUAAUUCCUGGUUCGCUGGGGAAUUAGUUAAUUGUGGUCCUUAGCACAUUUUAUUCUCGUUUGCCCAUCUGCUAAAUUCCCCCUUUUAAUCUAGAAACACAAAAAGGGAAG